rnacentral:rRNA from 1 species
CGGGGGAUAACCUUCCGAAAGAGGGCUAAUACCGCAUAAGACCACGGUCUCGUAAGAGAUUGAGGUUAAAGCAGGCCUCUUCAUGAAAGCUUGCACCUGAGGAUGAGCCCGCGGCCCAUCAGCUAGUUGGCAGGGUAAUGGCCUACCAAGGCGAAGACGGGUAGCUGGUCUGAGAGGAUGAUCAGCCACACUGGAACUGAGACACGGUCCAGACUCCUACGGGAGGCAGCAGUGGGGAAUCUUGCGCAAUGGGCGAAAGCCUGACGCAGCGACGCCGCGUGAGUGAUGAAGGCCUUCGGGUUGUAAAGCUCUGUGGGGAGAGACGAAUAAGGGUUGGCUAAUAUCCAGCUCGAUGACGGUAUCUCCUUAGCAAGCACCGGCUAACUCUGUGCCAGCAGCCGCGGUAA